AACUCAGAGCCAUAUAGAGUGAGAGUUGCGACAACUCCAUUGACUCCAAUGGAACGCUUUUUUUACAGCAAUGGCGGCUCGUGGAGCCUCUCAAUAGUUCCCGGAAGUAGCAGCAAACCUAUGCCGCGCCAUAGAGAUGCAGCAGAACAAACCGUUUGCGACGCACUUUUAACAGACCCAGGUAACUGGCUGAUGGUUCACAGGAAUGCUGACUGGCUGCUGACUGACUUGCUGCUGGUUGACUGGGCAGUGUCACCUGUCCCUGUCUCUCCUCUCUAGCCAUGUCCUUUUUCUUCACUCUCACUUUACCUUCUCUGAGUGUCCUCGUUCUUUUUUCCUCAACCUUUGAAACUGAUAGAGGUCUAGGGGUGCAUCGUGGAGCAGGGCCCUCCUCUUUUUGACCACAGGACGAUGUACAAAGAUUGUGGGAAUAGCAUCUGGUCUCAGCCUACUCUUGAAUUUUUUGGUCAUGACAAAUUGCUUUGCCGCAAUUUGUCUGCAUACUGACUUCAGUUUAGUUUCCACACACACCUUUUUUUUUGUCUACCCACAUACAGUACAUAUCACAUGGUGGUUAAAUGCACAGUUAUAGGUAACACUGAUGACUCCCUGCAAUGUCUCACCAUGAGUCUCAGCUCCCUGGGUUUUGCAAGGCUUUGCUUGUUCCUUAUUUCUAGUAAAACAUUGUCAAUGUAAAAAAGUGCAAAUAAAUCGGGGAAGCCAUACAUUCGCACACCUUUCUCUGACUGAGUGGAGCAUCCCCAUGCAGCACAGUAAACCAUGGUGGAGACUAUGCAAGGACAACAUUAAAGAAAGGACACAUACAAAAUGCUUGUCAUGCUAUUAAAUUUAUUAGAAAUGUAUUCAUGAAUUGCUGUAAAUAGUUAAUUGUAUAAUUACAACUUAAAAUAACUGUUUUCUGUUUUAAAAUGGAAUAUACUCCUGUGAUGCCAA